UUCAAUAAUUUUGAUUCAGAAAAGAAAAGAGUUUUGGAAGACAAGGAAGAUGCCAGUAGAAAGGGAAGUAUUGAUGCUCCAAUUAUUGAAUUAGUGAAAUACAUUAACAGUCAAGAGGACUACUACACUACCAGCUCCUGCUCUGGAAGGAUUAUUGUAUUUUCUGAGAAUAUACAGACAGGUAAGGAGGGUACGUUGUGGUUAUUAACAUCUCAUGAGACCGUCAGCAUUGACAAUGUGCUAAGCGUAUUGAAAGACAGAGAUAUACCAAUCUCUUGUUAUACUUAUUAUAAAUUUGAACCAUUCGUACUUCACGUCUCAUGUAGAACCUUGGAACAUGCACAGGCAAUAUUGAGGAUAGCUGUAUCAAGUGGGUUUAAAAAUUCCGGUAUUUCAGUUAGUAAAAAGAAUAAGAUAAUACUGUCAGUGCGUAGUACUCAAACUUUACAAUCUCCUGUAGCAUUUGACGGAAAGCUAAU
rnacentral:lncRNA from 1 species